GCAUACGUGGCCGAGUGGUUUAUGUCAUAUAAGGCGAGAGAUUAGAAAAUUCUAUUUUAUCUCUUAGGUUUGACCUGCGCAAGUUCGAAUCUUGCCGUAUGCG
rnacentral:tRNA from 1 species